rnacentral:lncRNA from 1 species
CUUCAUGCUCCUUCUGUCUCUUUCUGCCUGUAAAAUUAUCCUUUCCCUCUUUGUUCAUUCAUGUAUUCAGAAUUAUUCUCCAGCAUCUAUGAUGCAUCAAGUACUCUUCGAAGUCCUUUAAUGACAGCUGAAAUUAAAGAUGUGUUCGAAGGAAGAAGGGACUCUCUUCAUAGUUGGAGUGGGGACAGAUGUGGGACAGAAUGUGAGAGACCCUGUCAUAUAUUCAGAGCCAUACUGGCUGGGAGAGCCACGUACUACCUGAAUAUGAAGGGCAUUCUUGCUGCGUGGAUAACAGAGUCUAUGGAAUCUCCACCUGUUCCAACCUUCAGCUCUUUUCAUCAUGAUGCAAUAUAAAGAGCAGGGACUUUACAGACAGAUAGACCUGACUUAGCACUGUGGCAACACAACUUACUCUGUGAACCUUGGACACUUCUUAGCGUCCUUAGGAGAUACGAUAAAAAAACACAGUGGAUGCUACAGACGAGUGCCAUCCAGUGAAAUGGUUUGCAAAAACAUUACAAUGUGUAUUCAUCCACCUUAUUCACCGGGCCUAGCACCAUGUGACUUCUGACUUUUCCUCCAAAACCAAAAUGACCAUGAAUGGUCAAAGUUUUGUGUUGAUUCAGGACAUCAAGGCAGCCACAACAGCACAACUAAAGACACUCAUGGUAGAGGACUUCCAAAACUGCUUCAGAAAGUGGCAAGAAUGAUGGGGUAAUUGUAUUUGAAGUGAGGGAGACUAUUUUGAGAGAGAAUAAUGGCAAUGUGUCUUUUACUGGAAUAAAUUUUUUAAACCAUUACUUUUAAAUCACAACUAAGAUAUAUUCACAAACAUGUAAAAACUUAUCCAGGUGUUUAUUGAUGAUGUGUGUACAAUAUUCAAAAUAACUUUUACAUCAAUGAAAUGCAAAUUUCAAAAACUUAAGUAAUAAAUUUCUAUCUCUCCAUUUCUACCCCUCACUUUCUUCUCUUAUCUCUGUCUUUUACUCCAUGGCUCAAUGAACCAGGUACUAAAACAUGCCUGUAUUUUCUAAGUAUUUCUUUGCUCUUCCUUUCUUUUCUCACACUUCACAGAAUCACUUAUGAAGGAGAAGGUGGUG